rnacentral:ncRNA from 1 species
GUGUCGUGAGAUGUUGGGUUAAGUCCCGCAACGAGCGCAACCCUUGUCCCGUGUUGCCAGCAGGCCCUUGUGGUGCUGGGGACUCACGGGAGACCGCCGGGGUCAACUCGGAGGAAGGUGGGGACGACGUCAAGUCAUCAUGCCCCUUAUGUCUUGGGCUGCACACGUGCUACAAUGGCCGGUACAAUGAGCUGCGAUACCGCGAGGUGGAGCGAAUCUCAAAAAGCCGGUACUCAGUUCGGAUUGGGGUCUGCAACUCGACCCCAUGAAGUCGGAGUCGCUAGUAAUCGCAGAUCAGCAUU